CCACCCCUCUCCAUAGUCCCUGCUCCUAUCAACAGCCCUUGUGAUGGUUCUAGCCCUUUCCGGAUGGCUCUGGCUUCUGCUAAUACCACUUCCUCUUCCUGUUUCUUCAAUCCUAAAGGCAGAACCUGCUUCUCAAUACGUCUAGUACCCAGGAAUCUCUGCAUUGGAACCAGAAGCCAACUGUAAUACCCAGGCGAGAAGCUCCCAUCUCUGUGGGACACAGCAGUAGACAAGUUUCUUCUCGUACUUCCAGUCAUGUUUUGGAGCAGAAGCUAUGUGACCACAUGCAAAACAGGGGCAGACGCAUUCUGGGCAGAGUGAGGGCCGGGAGGGUAUGAAAACAACAGCUCAAAAUAAGGUGAAAUAUGGCCGCCUGGCCGAGGACAGAAGCCGGGGAGAUAAGCGCCAAGGAGGAGCCUCCCGUCCAACAAGCCGUGACUAAUGAUGAUUGGGGAUCACUGCGUGGAUUACAUGAGAUAACGCGGCCCAAGCUCCUGCCUGGUGUUCCACACAUGGAUACGUCUCUAAGACAUCUCACCCUCUUCCUGCUCAUAUCUGCAUCGAUCCGUAGCCCAGCUGAUGGCCGACCUCACACGUGCUCUGGACUCCGUGUGCCCUCCUGAAACUAGAGGUUUCCUUACAAAGCAAGAAGGAUAUUAAGGAAGAAAGUGUACGCCUGCGUCGCCCGAGCAAGUAUUAGGACUUGAACUCUGCAUUUCCUUGGUUCUUUCAGUCUCCCUGAGCUCCAGGAUCUUUCAGUCAAGGCGAAAGUUGUCACAGGAACCUUCAAGGGGAUUAGAGGAAGACUUGAAGAAGAAGCCGCUGGCUGGGCGAGCGAGGAGCCCGGGAAGUCCUUGAGGGAACUGAUACGUUUGUCCCCACUGCAACAGCACA